UACGGAGGGUGCGAGCGUUAAUCGGAAUUACUGGGCGUAAAGCGUACGCAGGCGGUUUGUUAAGCGAAUGUGAUGAACCCCGGGCUCAACCUGGGAACUGCAUUUCGAACUGGCAAACUAGAGUGUGAUAGAGGGUGGUAGAAUUUCAGGUGUAGCGGUGAAAUGCGUAGAGAUCUGAAGGAAUACCGAUGGCGAAGGCA
rnacentral:rRNA from 1 species